CGACCCGGGGCGCUGCUAGUAGAACCCGAGCCGGCUGAAACCCGGACGAUCUGCUGGGCUCACCACCCUAUUAGGGUCGCAGAGAUCCCGGCAUCAAUCCAGUAGCCUAGGUUCCCCCAGAAACAGAGGUUUGUUCUUCAAUCCAUGCACAUUCUCUUCCUAGAGCCUCCGGUGUCCGCUUUGCUAACUUUGGGGACCUGCUCUGGUUGCUGUUUUUCCCCCCUUUUAUUUUCCCAAGAAAGUUUUGGUAUACAAAAAGGUGUCCAAAAGAAAUUCUCCAAGACUUUUGGACCUAGGGUGUAGCUCAGUGAUAGAGUGGGUAUUUAGUAAGUCUCGAGGCGCUGGAUUCUAUCCCCAGAACCAAAAAUAAAUAAAGAAAAACAAAUAAAGAAAUGCUCCAAGGUAUCAAAGUAUUCGGUACAAAAUGCUGUUGAAUGGCUCUGCAAUUAGAAGAAAUCGCGGGUACCAACGUUAACCCCGCCCCCACUGCAUUCCGUUUCGGUGCCUGGGGAGGACCUUAGGUUGGCCCUAGAGUUCUGCACUCCUCUGGAUCUUACCGGAAGUCUCUUUAGGAACCUGUGUGGUUGCAGACACAAGCCCUGCCCCCAGGGAGCCAAAAACUCCACCGGGCAAUUGUCUUGGCCAGAGGUGAAGAGUGAGGUGUGGACUCAUUAAGGGAUUGGCCCGGGGUCACUCGUGAGGGAGGGAGCAGGUGAGUCACUCCCAGCCACUGAGAACCGGCUUGCAGAGGAGGGACCUCCCCUGAGUCACUGCUUCGCUGAGCUCCUGAGAAGCUCAGAAUGAGUUGAGAAACUGAAGCCUGGAGCCAGGUUUUUAAGAGUUUCAAAGCUCCUGUAGCCACUAGGGAGGGGCUAGGCAGCGCCCCCUCCCACCCCAGACCUCUGGUCCUGCUGGAAGAUGUAAUGCAGCUCCAAAGUCCUCUUUCCCCCAUACCCCAGUUCUCACUUAUUUAGCCACUGGUAUGCACUGAUUUAAUGAUUGUCUUGUGUUUACAUGGCACCUUUAAGGAUGAGAUCUGAGCUACCUUAUAAGUAAACAUUAACAAAAUCAGGGCAAGGACUGGACCUCUCAAGCAUGCUUCUUUGGUAAUCUUCCUUUGCUUACAAAGGCCUUGACCUAAAGAAAUGCUCCAUUCAAGUGAUCACCUGACCCAUUUACUACCUUCAGUGUGUGUCCCCGCCCAUCUUUGUCUAAGACCCUAUCUAUUACCUAUGCUUCUUCCCUCUGCCUCCCCACCCCACCCCUUCCCUUAUAGUCCGUUAAGCCUGUGGCCAACCCAGUGACCUUAAUGAAAUAUAAGUAGAUCUUGUGACUCCUCCCCUUAAACCUACCAAAGUCUUUCC
rnacentral:lncRNA from 1 species